CGCGGCCUAUCAGCUUGUUGGUGAGGUAACGGCUCACCGAGGCAUCGACGGGUAGCUGGUCUGAGAGGAUGAUCAGCCACACUAGGACUGAGACACGGCCCAGACUCCUACGGGAGGCAGCAGUGGGGAAUAUUGCACAAUGGGCGCAAGCCUGAUGCAGCAACGCCGCGUGCGGGAUGAAGGCCCUAGGGUUGUAAACCGCUUUCAGCAGGGAAGAAAAUGACGGUACCUGCAGAAGAAGGUGCGGCCAACUACGUGCCAGCAGCCGCGGUAAUACGUAGGGCGCAAGCGUCGUCCGGAAUUAUUGGGCGUAAAGAGCUCGUAGGUGGUUCGUCGCGUCUGCUGUGAAAGUCCGAGGCUUAACCUCGGAUCUGCAGUGGGUACGGACGGACUAGAGUGCGGUAGAGGAGAUCGGAAUUCCUGGUGUAGCGGUGGAAUGCGCAGAUAUCAGGAGGAACACCGGUGGCGAAGGCGGGUCUCUGGGCCUUACCUGACGCUGAGGAGCGAAAGCAUGGGGAGCGAACAGGAUUAGAUACCCUGGUAGUCCAUGCCAUAAACGUUGGGCGCUAGGUGUGGGGACUUUCCACGGUUUCCGCGCCGUAGCUAACGCAUUAAGCGCCCCGCCUGGGGAGUACGG
rnacentral:rRNA from 1 species